CUCUUGCUCUUGCUCUUGCUCUUCCUCCUCCUCUCUGUGGAGCUGCCAUGUGAGCCCUGGAAGACAGGACGCCUUCCACCAGUGUACUCCAUAAGGAACAGCAGCAUAACAUCUGUGAGGAGAAACACAAAAACAGCUUUUCCUGAGCAUCAUGACUUGCACAGCCUUUACUGUGGCAGGCUUCUACUUGGAAACAGAAACUUAGGGGCACUUGCACUUCAUGUUUUCCUGAACACAGCAUGGGAAAAGCCAGUGUAUCUGACAUGCCAGGACCUAAGAACACAGGACUUUCAAUCGGUGUCCAUCACUCUCCAUUGCCUCUGCUGCAAUGUCCUUUCAGCUGGAAUGUCACAGAGGCUCCUUCUGGAAGGCACGUGGGGAGCAGUCACUGGGCUGCAUGGUCUAGUCAAGUCCUGGGAUGUCCUCUGGUCACUGCUUGGCCUUCUUCACAAUGGUGCCCACAGCAGAAAUGGUGGUGGUCUUGGAGCUGCUGGCACUGGUGGUGACAGUGACCGCUGCUGGCAGCGUGGCUGUGGUAGUAAGGAUGGUGGAUUGUGCUAUUAUUGUCACUGGAAUGGCAGAGUCCCACUUGCUCUUUCUCUUUUGGGCAUCUGCAACAGCUGUGCAGGCAGUAGUGGUGGUGGUAGCUGAGGCAUUGGUCAUGGUGCCUUUCUUGGUGCCCG
rnacentral:lncRNA from 1 species